rnacentral:lncRNA from 1 species
GUUGCAGGGCUAAUUCACUGACCUCUAGGCAGAGUUUGGAAGUGGUGCUGGAAUCCAAGUGAUAUGACAACAUACAGAGCGUGUAGGUGGGCACCAAAAGGGGAAAAGAAAAGAGUGGAAUUCCCUGACCCUGUUUUGGGGAGAAGAUUGAGAAGUCCUGAUGAGCCAGUGAACACUGAUGUACUUGAACAUCUCCAGGUUUUAGAGACAGCAAGUAAGUGUGGUCUUGAGUCCAGGGAAGCAGUGAGGUCCCAUCACUUCCAUGUGAACAGUGUCUCUGCAGGCACUUGGCAUGAACAAAGUCAGAGGAAUGAUGAAGAGGUGAGCAUGAAAGCAGUAUUUCUGCCCAGAUGUUUGUGUUCUUGA